rnacentral:rRNA from 1 species
CGCGGCCUAUCAGCUUGUUGGUGGGGUAAUGGCCUACCAAGGCGACGACGGGUAGCCGGCCUGGGAGGGCGACCGGCCACACUGGGACUGAGACACGGCCCAGACUCCUACGGGAGGCAGCAGUGGGGAAUAUUGCACAAUGGGGGAAACCCUGAUGCAGCGACGCAGCGUGCGGGAUGACGGCCUUCGGGUUGUAAACCGCUUUCAGCAGGGAAGAAGCGAAAGUGACGGUACCUGCAGAAGAAGUACCGGCUAACUACGUGCCAGCAGCCGCGGUAAUACGUAGGGUACGAGCGUUGUCCGGAAUUAUUGGGCGUAAAGAGCUCGUAGGUGGUUGGUCACGUCUGCUGUGGAAACGCAACGCUUAACGUUGCGCGUGCAGUGGGUACGGGCUGACUAGAGUGCAGUAGGGGAGUCUGGAAUUCCUGGUGUAGCGGUGAAAUGCGCAGAUAUCAGGAGGAACACCGGUGGCGAAGGCGGGACUCUGGGCUGUAACUGACACUGAGGAGCGAAAGCAUGGGGAGCGAACAGGAUUAGAUACCCUGGUAGUCCAUGCCGUAAACGUUGGGCACUAGGUGUGGGGGACAUUCCACGUUCUCCGCGCCGUAGCUAACGCAUUAAGUGCCCCGCCUGGGGAGUACGG